UAGGGAAUCUUCCACAAUGGACGCAAGUCUGAUGGAGCAACGCCGCGUGAGUGAAGAAGGUUUUCGGAUCGUAAAGCUCUGUUGUUGGUGAAGAAGGAUAGAGGCAGUAACUGGUCUUUAUUUGACGGUAAUCAACCAGAAAGUCACGGCUAACUACGUGCCAGCAGCCGCGGUAAUACGUAGGUGGCAAGCGUUGUCCGGAUUUAUUGGGCGUAAAGCGAGCGCAGGCGGAAUGAUAAGUCUGAUGUGAAAGCCCACGGCUCAACCGUGGAACUGCAUCGGAAACUGUCAUUCUUGAGUGCAGAAGAGGAGAGUUGAAUUCCAUGUGUAGCGGUGGAAUGCGUAGAUAUAUGGAAGAACACCAGUGGCGAAGGCGGCUCUCUGGUCUGCAACUGACGCUGAGGCUCGAAAGCAUGGGUAGCGAACAGG
rnacentral:rRNA from 1 species